rnacentral:rRNA from 1 species
UACGGAGGGUGCGAGCGUUGUCCGGAAUCACUGGGCGUAAAGGGCGCGUAGGCGGCCGCGUAAGUCACUUGUGAAAUCCCGGGGCUCAACUCCGGGGCCGCAGGUGAGACUGCGUGGCUAGAGCACGGUAGAGGCGAGUGGAAUUCCCGGUGUAGCGGUGGAAUGCGUAGAUAUCGGGAAGAACACCGGUGGCGAAGGCGGCUCGCUGGGCCGUUGCUGACGCUGAGACGCGAAAGCUAGGGGAGCGAACAGG